UACAGAGGUCUCGAGCGUUAGGCGGAAUCACUGGGCUUAAAGCGUGUGUAGGCGGGUCGUUAAGUGCCUUGUGAAAUCCCAUGGCUCAACCAUGGAACUGCUGGGCAUACUGGCGAUCUUGUGCCACCUAGGGGCGAGCGGAACAGAUGGUGGAGCGGUGAAAUGCGUAGAUAUCAUUUGGAACGCCAAUGGUGAAAACAGGUAGCUGGGAGUGUGCUGACGCUGAGACACGAAAGCCAGGGGAGCGAACGGG
rnacentral:rRNA from 1 species